ACGCCAGUGGCAUUGCCGAGUAGCUAUGUGUGGAAGAGAUAACCGCUGAAAGCAUCUAAGCGGGAAACUCGUUUCAAGAUGAGAUCUGCCGGGGCCUUGAGCCCCCUAAAGAGUCGUUCAAGACCAGGACGUUGAUAGGUCAGGUGUGGAAGCGUAGUAAUGCGUUAAGCUAACUGAUACUAAUUGCUCGUGCGGCUUGACCCU
rnacentral:rRNA from 1 species